rnacentral:rRNA from 1 species
CCUACGGGGGGCUGCAGUGGGGAAUAUUGGACAAUGGGGGGAACCCUGAUCCAGCCAUGCCGCGUGUGUGAAGAAGGCCCUCGGGUUGUAAAGCACUUUCAGUGAGGAAGAACGCCUGGUGGUUAAUACCCAUCAGGAAGGACAUCACUCACAGAAGAAGCACCGGCUAACUCCGUGCCAGCAGCCGCGGUAAUACGGAGGGUGCGAGCGUUAAUCGGAAUUACUGGGCGUAAAGCGCGCGUAGGUGGCUUGAUAAGCCGGUUGUGAAAGCCCCGGGCUCAACCUGGGAACGGCAUCCGGAACUGUCAAGCUAGAGUGCAGGAGAGGAAGGUAGAAUUCCCGGUGUAGCGGUGAAAUGCGUAGAGAUCGGGAGGAAUACCAGUGGCGAAGGCGGCCUUCUGGACUGACACUGACACUGAGGUGCGAAAGCGUGGGUAGCAAACAGGAUUAGAUACCCGGGUAGUC